UCCAGGUGGCGGGAAGUAGGGGCAGCUGCCCCAUUUCUGGAGAGUCAGAGGGCCUUCCUGCUCCCAUGGCCAGAUAUCCGAGGCCAUGAAAAGGAGAAGGAGGGCUUGCUUGUCUGUGGUGUUUCGUGAUCCAUGAGGGAAGGAGCAUUUACCCCUGCACUGGAGAGCUGAAAUCUGUGGCCUCUAAUUCGCGGGUGAUUCUUGGGCUUCAUUCCUUUCAUGGAACAGAAAGCGCAGAUGAAGCAGAUCCUAACACGGACAUUUGAUCCUGCCUGGUCUCCCUCUUCUUUUCCAGAUGUUUUGGUACACCAGUUACAGGGACUAACAGACACUUAAACCUUUCCAUUCAAAUCCUGAGCCAGGGACAGCCCGGGUCUACCUCGUCUUUUACUAUGAAGACUCCACUCGAGACAGACAUGCUUCUGUGGCUGAGCUCCACGCGUUCUCCACAUACCUGGCCCAUUCACCAGAUACAGCCCUUUCAAUAUUUUUGCAGCAUUCUUCUGUCCCUGAGGCUUCGUACCUCUUGGCCCCACUACCUCUUCCUGCUCAAGCCUGGGAUCACACCAAUUCUACUGGCUGGCACCAGAUUAAGCUGUUUCUUGCAAUCAAAGGAAAGGAAAACUUGAACUCUUUGGAGAACUUUUCCCAGUAAAAGAGGACAACACUUCUGUUCCAUUUAUAAGGAGAAAAAAAGGCAGUAGGGGCGGUGUUCCACUUUGGUUCCAAGCCCUCCUGUAAAUGCGGAAGGUAUAAGGAAGAAGAUUUUCAAGGAGACUAUUUUCCGUUCUCAGCUCAGGCUGUGGUCAAACAGCUUAGUAGCCUCACAACUGUUCUUUCUCCUGUUGGCUGAUCGGGUUCCAGGACAUUGCAAAAGAUUUAUUUACAAUCACCCAAAGAGCCAGAAUAGCCUCACCUUCAUCUAGGAAAUAAUAGCUGUUUUGUGCUAUUUCUUUCAACAACAGUGAUUCAUUAUGUAGCACUAGGCCUUCCCUGAUACUUGUAACUGUCAGGCAGAUUUCCUAUGGCUUGUUCUCACACAAUAGGCCUAUUUUGUCAAACCGAACCUGGAGAUGUAUAAUUAUCUGCAUGUGUAGAUAUGAGUGUACCGGCUUACACAUAUAGAAGGACGCACAUGUGUUUAUUAACACGUGCUUCUAGAAUGAGGUCAUUCUAAAAUGGUCCUUGUGGCCACUGUAGGAGGAGUGCUCACCUGACCUAAGGAUCCUCUUCCUUGGUCAUCUGCAGACAGCGCUCAAAGGGACUGAUGGCUUCUAGUUGACACAUAACAAUUUAUUCCUCAGCAGGGCAUGGAGGUAAGUUGCACAGCCCUAUGGCUAGAGGAGACAGAGAUAUCUGGGAUUUCCGUUGGGAUUUCCAAAUUUCUGAUAUCUAGGUUAACCAAGGGAAUUUUUUUUUUCCCAUACAACCCUUAUUGUGAAAAUGUUAAUAAAUUUUCAUAGGAGGCUUGUCAUAUCAGUUGUGAGAACUUGUCCCAUGCUCUCUCCUCUGUAUGUCCCUUUCUUCUACAUCUAAAUAUGCAUCCUAUGAAUUGUAGGAAGGGGGGCAGCAAGCCUCCCCCACAUAUUCAGGGCUUUAUAGAUGUCUCUUAACUCAUUAUGGGAGUAAGUGUUAGAAUUGGUAUUUUUUCAGUUGUUUUAUUUUAGAAUUUGCUUCAUUUAACUUGCAUACAAUGAAGUAGACCACCGUCUUGAUUCCACAACCCUCUUUUGAGCAAAAAUAGGAAAAGCAAUAUGAUAUAAAACAACAAUGUAAGGCACUGAUCUCCUCAUCAUCAUUUAUCAAGAAAUUCUCUUCCAAGUUCAAUAGCAUUGAGAACUGUGUCCAGACACUCAUGUUGCAACAGAACAAAG